UCUUCCAAUAGAGNCGGCCGGUUUGNUGUUGCAGUUCGUUCGAAAGAGCGGUUUGCGCUGUCUUCCGGUUGGUAAGCCAGCACCCGCCUCCCCGCAAGGGGCAGGUUUGGGUACCUGGUAAACCCUUUGUGAACCAAAACAAACCUUUCGCUUCGGCAGCUGGGCCCCUUCUGGGACCUGUCAGCCUGCCGCUAGCACCAAACAAAAAAACUUGUUGUCAAAACAUUGUCUGAUAACCAAAAUUUUCGAAUGAAAAUCAAAACUUUCAACAACGGAUCUCUUGGUUCCCGCAUCGAUGAAGAACGCAGCGAAACGCGAUAGUUAAUGUGAAUUGCAGAAUUCAGUGAAUCAUCGAGUCUUUGAACGCACAUUGCGCCCAUUGGUAUUCCUUUGGGCAUGUCUGUUUGAGCGUCAUUACAACCCUCAGCUACCCGCUGGUUUUGAACCCGAACGGUUUCCCCCUAAUAGGGGAUCCGAGCCGGUUUUAAAGUUGUAAGCUCUGCUGGCCGCUCCGCCUCCAACCAGAACAUAGUAAAACACUACUUUUGUUAGGGUCAAGCGGAACGGNUUUCGGCCU
rnacentral:rRNA from 1 species